rnacentral:rRNA from 1 species
AGUGAACGCUGGCGGUAGGCCUAACACAUGCAAGUCGAACGGCAGCACAGUAAGAGCUUGCUCUUACGGGUGGCGAGUGGCGGACGGGUGAGGAAUACAUCGGAAUCUACUUUUUCGUGGGGGAUAACGUAGGGAAACUUACGCUAAUACCGCAUACGACCUACGGGUGAAAGCAGGGGAUCUUCGGACCUUGCGCGAUUGAAUGAGCCGAUGUCGGAUUAGCUAGUUGGCGGGGUAAAGGCCCACCAAGGCGACGAUCCGUAGCUGGUCUGAGAGGAUGAUCAGCCACACUGGAACUGAGACACGGUCCAGACUCCUACGGUAGGAAGCAGUGGGGAAUAUUGGACAAUGGGCGCAAGCCUGAUCCAGCCAUACCGCGUGGGUGAAGAAGGCCUUCGGGUUGUAAAGCCCUUUUGUUGGGAAAGAAAAGCAGCAGGUUAAUACCCCGCUGUUCUGACGGUACCCAAAGAAUAAGCACCGGCUAACUUCGUG